rnacentral:rRNA from 1 species
UAUUGCCUACGGGGGGCAGCAGUGGGGAAUAUUGCACAAUGGGGGAAACCCUGAUGCAGCAACGCCGCGUGAGUGAAGAAGGUUUUCGGAUUGUAAAGCUCUGUUAGCAGGGAAGAGGAAGGACGGUACCUGCAGAGGAAGCCACGGCUAACUACGUGCCAGCAGCCGCGGUAAUACGUAGGUGGCAAGCGUUAUCCGGAUUUACUGGGUGUAAAGGGAGCGUAGACGGCAGCACAAGUCUGGAGUGAAAUCCCGGGGCUUAACCCCGGAACUGCUUUGGAAACUGUGCGGCUGGAGUGCAGGAG